UACGGAGGGUGCAAACGUUGCUCGGAAUCACUGGGCGUAAAGCGCGCGCAGGCGGCCCUUUAAGUCCAUCGGUCAAAUGCCGGAGCUCAACUCCGUGCGUGCCGAGGAUACUGGAGGGCUGGAGACACGUAGAGGCAAGCGGAAUUCCGGGUGUAGCGGUGGAAUGCGUAGAUAUCGGGAGGAACACCUGUGGCGAAAGCGGCUCACUGGACCACAACUGACGCUGAUGCGCGAAAGCUAGGGGAGCAAACAGG
rnacentral:rRNA from 1 species